rnacentral:lncRNA from 1 species
UGGAUCUGUACUAGGUCCGGAUCCCGGCAUGUGGCGGUCCUCAAGUCUGAAAUAAAAGGAAAAACCGGCGUAGUCAAAGCCGCCAACUCGCCGGACUCGGGAUGGCGCGAUAGUGCAUCCGCCACUCGAUUUUCUGCGCCCUUUUUGUACACCAUCUCAUAGUCGUAGCCGAGAAGCUUCGACACCCACCUCUGCUGGGCUGGAGUAUGUAUGCG